CAUUACCGAGUUUACAACUCCCAAACCCCUGUGAACAUACCAAUUGUUGCCUCGGCGGAUCAGCCCGCUCCCGGUAAAACGGGACGGCCCGCCAGAGGACCCCUAAACUCUGUUUCUAUAUGUAACUUCUGAGUAAAACCAUAAAUAAAUCAAAACUUUCAACAACGGAUCUCUUGGUUCUGGCAUCGAUGAAGAACGCAGCAAAAUGCGAUAAGUAAUGUGAAUUGCAGAAUUCAGUGAAUCAUCGAAUCUUUGAACGCACAUUGCGCCCGCCAGUAUUCUGGCGGGCAUGCCUGUUCGAGCGUCAUUUCAACCCUCAAGCCCUCGGGUUUGGUGUUGGGGAUCGGCGAGCCCUUGCGGCAAGCCGGCCCCGAAAUCUAGUGGCGGUCUCGCUGCAGCUUCCAUUGCGUAGUAGUAAAACCCUCGCAACUGGUACGCGGCGCGGCCAAGCCGUUAAACCCCCAACUUCUGAAUGUUGACCUCGGAUCAGGUAGGAAUACCC
rnacentral:rRNA from 1 species